rnacentral:rRNA from 1 species
AUUGAACGCUGGCGGCAGGCCUAACACAUGCAAGUCGAACGGUAACAGGAAGCAGCUUGCUGCUUUGCUGACGAGUGGCGGACGGGUGAGUAAUGUCUGGGAAACUGCCCGAUGGAGGGGGAUAACUACUGGAAACGGUAGCUAAUACCGCAUAACGUCGCAAGACCAAAGAGGGGGACCUUAGGGCCUCUUGCCAUCGGAUGUGCCCAGAUGGGAUUAGCUAGUAGGUGGGGUAACGGCUCACCUAGGCGACGAUCCCUAGCUGGUCUGAGAGGAUGACCAGCCACACUGGAACUGAGACACGGUCCAGACUCCUACGGGAGGCAGCAGUGGGGAAUAUUGCACAAUGGGCGCAAGCCUGAUGCAGCCAUGCCGCGUGUAUGAAGAAGGCCUUCGGGUUGUAAAGUACUUUCAGCGGGGAGGAAGGGAGUAAAGUUAAUACCUUUGCUCAUUGACGUUACCCGCAGAAGAAGCACCGGAUAACUCCGUG